rnacentral:rRNA from 1 species
AUUGAACGCUGGCGGAAUGCUUUACACAUGCAAGUCGAGCGGCAGCGCGGGGCAACCUGGCGGCGAGCGGCGAACGGGUGAGUAAUACAUCGGAACGUGCCCAGACGUGGGGGAUAACUACUCGAAAGAGUGGCUAAUACCGCAUACGAUCUAAGGAUGAAAGCGGGGGAUCGCAAGACCUCGCGCGUUUGGAGCGGCCGAUGGCAGAUUAGGUAGUUGGUGGGGUAAAGGCUUACCAAGCCCGCGAUCUGUAGCUGGUCUGAGAGGAUGAUCAGCCACACUGGGACUGAGACACGGCCCAGACUCCUACGGGAGGCAGCAGUGGGGAAUUUUGGACAAUGGGCGAAAGCCUGAUCCAGCCAUUCCGCGUGCAGGAUGAAGGCCCUCGGGUUGUAAACUGCUUUUGUACAGAACGAAAAGACUCUUUCUAAUACAGAGGGCCCACUGACGGUACUGUAAGAAUAAG